rnacentral:rRNA from 1 species
UACAGAGGUCCCAAGCGUUGUUCGGAUUCACUGGGCGUAAAGGGUGCGUAGGCGGUCGGGUAAGUCUGAUGUGAAAUCUCACAGCUUAACUGUGAAACUGCAUUGGAUACUAUCCGGCUAGAGGAAUGGAGGGGAGACUGGAAUACUUGGUGUAGCAGUGAAAUGCGUAGAUAUCAAGUGGAACACCAGUGGCGAAGGCGAGUCUCUAGACAUUUCCUGACGCUGAGGCACGAAAGCCAGGGGAGCAAACGGG